rnacentral:rRNA from 1 species
GGGGGAGUACUGCCCCCAUAGUCUGGGAUACCACUUGGAAACAGGUGCUAAUACGGGAUAAGAAAGCAGAUCGCAUGAUCAGCUUUUAAAAAGGCGGCGUAAGCUGUCGCUAUGGGAUGGCCCCGCGGUGCAUUAGCUAAUUGGUAAGGUAAAAGGCUUACCAAGGCGAUGAUGCAUAGCCGAGUUGAGAGACUGAUCGGCCACAUUGGGACUGAGACACGGCCCAAACUCCUACGGGAGGCAGCAGUAGGGAAUCUUCCACAAUGGACGCAAGUCUGAUGGAGCAACGCCGCGUGAGUGAAGAAGGUUUUCGGAUCGUAAAGCUCUGUUGUUGGUGAAGAAGGAUAGAGGUAGUAACUGGCCUUUAUUUGACGGUAAUCAACCAGAAAGUCACGGGCUAACUACGUGCCAGCAGCCGCGGUAAAU